AUUAAAGCACCAGAAAGAAGAAAUCUGAGCUUUAAACUCCUGAAUUCAUCUGUAGACAUUUUGAGAGCAGCUGCUUACAAACAGGUCCGUGUUACAUUAUUAAUAUGAUGGAGAAUUAUAAAUACAGAGCGCUACAAGUACAGGUGUUACGGAGAAUUCAGUUCCCCCUGUUUCCCCAUUAACGCGCAUGUGCAAAAAUCAUGACGUUUUUUUCAGUCGCUUCGUUGAGCGUCGGUUUAUUUGGAAUAUGUGUUUAUAGCGCCUGUGAUGGAUGUGACAGAUGGUACCACCAGUCAUGUGUUGGCAACCCACCAGUAGAGGAAGACCUUCAUUGUCUGGCAUGUACUGAAGAUUAGACCAAGUAACUGCUUUAUCCUGGUCAUGGCCGUGGAGGAUCCAGAACUGUUCCUGGGGAAACUGGACGUACGGCAGGAGUGCACUAUGGAUGUGAUGCUAGUCAAUCCCAGGGCACCAUCCCAGAUUUUAUUUUAUUUCGUUUAAAAAUAUAUAUAUUUCUAUUAAGCUAUAAAUAUGUAUUUAAGUUUUAAUUUGCAUUGAGGUGGAUUUCUUUAUUAUAUAUUUGCAUAAUUGUAAUAUAUGCAU